GGAGGGGACAGCUCAGUGGUAGAGCGCGUGCUUAGCAUGCACGAGGUCCUGGGUUCAACCCCCGGUACCGCCA
rnacentral:tRNA from 1 species